rnacentral:rRNA from 1 species
UAAUACGUAGGGUGCGAGCGUUAAUCGGAAUUACUGGGCGUAAAGCGUGCGCAGGCGGUUGUGUAAGACAGGUGUGAAAUCCCCGGGCUUAACCUGGGAACUGCGCUUGUGACUGCACGGCUAGAGUACGGCAGAGGGGGGUGGAAUUCCACGUGUAGCAGUGAAAUGCGUAGAGAUGUGGAGGAACACCGAUGGCGAAGGCAGCCCCCUGGGCCGAUACUGACGCUCAUGCACGAAAGCGUGGGGAGCAAACAGGAUUAGAUACCCUGGUAGUCCACGCCCUAAACGAUGUCGACUAGUCGUUCGCGAAGGUAACUUUGUGGGUGACGCAGCUAACGCGUGAAGUCGACCGCCUGGGGAGUACGGUCGCAAGAUUA